GACCACUCCAGUGGCCUAGUGGUUAGAGUGUCCGCCUCAGAUGAGGGAGGUUGUGGGUUCAAUCCCCUGCUGAGUCA